UGAGGAAUAUUGGUCAAUGGGCGAGAGCCUGAACCAGCCAAGUAGCGUGAAGGAAGAGUGCCUUACAGGUAAUAAACUUCUUUUCUUCGGGAGUAAUGACAUCUACGAGUUAGGUGUAGAGUAAGUACCGAAAGAACAAGCAUCGGCUAACUCCGUGCCAGCAGCCGCGGUAAUACGGAGGAUGCGAGUGUUAUCCGGAUUUAUUGGGUUUAAAGGGUGCGUAGGCGGACAGUUAAGUCAGCUGUUAAAGGACCAUGCUCAGCGUGGGAAGUGCAGUUGAAACUGACAGUCUAGAGAGUACAUAAGGCAGUUGGAAUUUGUGGUGUAGCGGUGAAAUGCAUAGAUAUCACGAAGAACACCGAUAGCGAAAGCAAGCUGCCGGGGUGCGUCUGACGCUGAG
rnacentral:rRNA from 1 species